GCCUUCGUGGUGUAGUGGUCAGCAAGCUCGACGCGUAACCAAGAGGUCCGUGGUUCGAUUCCCGGCGAGGACG
rnacentral:tRNA from 1 species